UUACUAAGAAAUGAUAAAUAUAUUCUUAAAUAGCAGCCUGAUUUCUGCUCUGACAUUAGCAUUCAGAGUCGCUCCUGGGUCCCCAGUUCUCAGUUAAUCAUUGAUGCUGUUGCUUCCCUUAUUUCUACCCUUCAGACACAUUCAUCUAAUCUCACUGCCUCUUUAGAAAAUGAGUUUCUAAAUCAAAAAUACUUUUUCAACCCUUUCUAUUUUGCUGUGUUUCUCUUCCAUAUCAGGGAGGUUGAAAACAGAGCCAGACAGGCAGAGGAGAAGUUUGAAGAUGCAUAUGAGAAACUUCAUCAUACCCUUAUAAAAAAUAAAGAUCUAGAGGAAUUAGUCAUGACAUCAAGAAAGGAGUCUGAAGAAGAGAAAGAAAAUGAAGAUGAAAGAGAAGUAAAAGAACAAGAAGAACAAGAAGAAGUCAGGUCAGCAGAAAAUUCCUCAAAAUCUCCAAAGAAAGGUCACUGAAUCCAAGGCAACCUGUGGAGAGAAGAAUUCAGAUGUCAGUGGGAGCCUCCAGGUGGAGGGAGAGCAUGCCUAAACCCUGGUGGCCAUUGUUCUAUACUAAGGAAGAACAUUCCCUUUGAAAGGACAUUAUUUGCCUGUUGUAUUUAACUUCACAGUGCCUUGCAAAGAGUCGUUUAACUUGAAUAGUGCCAACC
rnacentral:sRNA from 1 species